GUAGUAACUUAACUAGAAAAUCCUACUUCACUAGGCAUUUAACCUAACACAAGAAUAUUCAAGGAAAGAUUAAACCAGGGAGAAGGAACUCGGCAAAUCUUAGUCUCGCCUGUUUACCAAAAACAUCGCCUCUUGACCACUAUAAGAGGUCCAGCCUGCCCAGUGACCAGUUUAACGGCCGCGGUACCCUAACCGUGCGAAGGUAGCAUAAUCACUUGUUUCUUAAAUAGAGACUAGUAUCAACGGCAUCACGAAGACUAUACUGUCUCCCCCCUAAAAUCAAUGAAACUGAUCUCCUCGUGAAGAAGCGAGGAUAUAUAUAUAAGACGAGAAGACCCCAUGGAGCUUUAAACGAACUUCAAUUGUUCCUACCCAUAACAUACAAAUUGAACACCCCUGAUAGUUAGUUUUAGGUUGGGGUGACCGCGGAGUAAAACAAAACCUCCACAAUGAAUGAAACAAAAUUCUUAUAAAAGAACCACAAUUCUAAUAAUCAAAAAUUUGACAUAAAUUGACCCAAACACUUGAUCAAUGAACCAAGUUACCCUGGGGAUAACAGCGCAAUCCAUUUUAAGAGCCCAUAUCGACAAAUGGGUUUACGACCUCGAUGUUG
rnacentral:rRNA from 1 species